GUGGGGAAUCUUGCGCAAUGGGCGAAAGCCUGACGCAGCCAUGCCGCGUGAAUGAUGAAGGUCUUAGGAUUGUAAAAUUCUUUCACCGGGGACGAUAAUGACGGUACCCGGAGAAGAAGCUCCGGCUAACUUCGUGCCAGCAGCCGCGGUAAUACGAAGGGGGCUAGCGUUGCUCGGAAUUACUGGGCGUAAAGGGCGCGUAGGCGGACAGCUUAGUCAGAGGUGAAAGCCGAGGGCUAAACCUUGGAAUUGCCUUUGAUACUGGCUGGCUUGAGUUUGGGAGAGGUGAGUGGAACUCCGAGUGUAGAGGUGAAAUUCGUAGAUAUUCGGAAGAACACCAGUGGCGAAGGCGACUCACUGGCCCAAUACUGACGCUGAGGCGCGAAAGCGUGGGGAGCAAACAGGAUUAGAUACCCUGGUAGUCC
rnacentral:rRNA from 1 species